rnacentral:lncRNA from 1 species
CAGGCAAACAAAUACCUGUUUAGCAAACAAGCACUGUCCAAGCUAGAGAGUAAAGCUGGUCGUGAUUGCAUUUGAGGUUCGGGUUAGGCCAGCACAUCUGUAGGCCCCAUGCACAGCACAGCACGUGAAUUAUUUCUGUUUUACAGGAAUACCAUCUGCAAAGAGGCUGUGACUUGGGUAAGAGGAGGACCCUUACCCUUCUCCAGUCUGAUGCUGCGUAGAUUUCCUGACUGUUAUGAGCACUGCUGCACUCUUGCCAGUGCAACAUCUCUCUGUUUCCUGAAGGACAGUCCUUUUGGAGAUCCCAGCUUACAACACUGAGCUGCACAGCCAGGCCUCUGUGCUGGAAGGGCUGCUUUGGUACUAGCUAUGUGCCUUAGAGAGAGGGUGCUGUUUGUAGAAACCUCUGUGCACACCAUGAAAUAAAUUGGGAGUGGCA